rnacentral:rRNA from 1 species
CCUACGGGUGGCAGCAGUGAGGAAUAUUGGUCAAUGGACGCGAGUCUGAACCAGCCAAGUCGCGUGAAGGAUGACUGCCCUAUGGGUUGUAAACUUCUUUUAUAUGGGAAUAAAAUGUUGCACGUGUGGUAUUUUGUAUGUACCUUAUGAAUAAGGAUCGGCUAACUCCGUGCCAGCAGCCGCGGUAAUACGGAGGAUCCGAGCGUUAUCCGGAUUUAUUGGGUUUAAAGGGUGCGUAGGUGGAUUUUUAAGUCAGUUGUGAAAGUUUGCGGCUCAACCGUAAAAUUGCAGUUGAAACUGGCAGUCUUGAGUACAGUAGAGGUGGGCGGAAUUCGUGGUGUAGCGGUGAAAUGCUUAGAUAUCACGAAGAACUCCGAUUGCGAAGGCAGCUCACUGGGCUGCAACUGACACUGAGGCUCGAAAGUGUGGGGAUCAAACAGGAUUAGAUACCCGGGUAGUC